CAGACCCAUUCAGUGGGGGUGUACUGGAUUCGGAGGUGGUGUAUGGUCACUCCUAAGACUCCAGGCCUUGACCACCCAAGGCCCAAACCGAACCAAGGGAAACCUGCUCCCAAAUUCUCUUCCUGUUAAGCGAAACACAGAAGCCACCGUGAAAACGUGCUUCCAUUUCCCUAGCUUCCGCCGUCGAGGCUCGCUUAAGCCAAAUCCAAAGGAAAACAAGACACGGCGAGUGCUUGAUAGACGGCUCUUUCGUCACGAUUUCGCUCGCCUUUCCUUCAUCUUCGCAAUAGGAUUUGCUCAUGAACUUCUUCACCUUCGUCACAAGAUCGUUAACGUCCGUUUUCAUCGGACAAUUCUCCACAUCUUGAAAUCCGUCCGUACACGUUUCUUCAUCGGUAAGCGCCACGCUCAUCCAUAUCUCGCGACGGUUCAAUAACAUUCAACAGAUGAUUCGUUCGUUAAUCAGUUACCGGAUUCAAAGUUCAUAGCAUCAAAUUCGACUCGAUCUGUUAUCGUGUGAACGAUCCGGAACAAAAAUGAAAUAGCAAGCAACUUGAAGACUCACCGAAUUGAAUAGUGGAGGACGAAUUGGAGACUAUUUCAUUUAUCAAAGAUUGGAAGAUGAAGGUUGAAGAUGGUUCGGUGAACGGAGAUUACGGUUACGGUUACGGAUUCCCAAUGGUUGAAGGUUUGGCCAAUGGAGAUUACGGUUACGGUUACGGAUUCGCAAUGGUUGAAGAAUUGAGGUUGAAGGAAUGGAAAUUACGGUUAUGGAGGUUGUAAGAGGGUUUUGGUUGAAGAAUUGAGGUUGAAGAAGAAGCUGGAAGAAAAAAAACUUGAGAUAGGUGAAGAUUGAUGAAUUUAUAGAGUGAUGGAGAGUGAGAUUAGAAGUUUGUUUUUUCUGUUAUUCAAUUUCUUUUGCCGCUCGUCAUGCAGGUUUUGGUAUUGGCUCGGCUGGUGUGUUGCACUUCAAUUUUGUGGCCUGUGUUUGGCUCGAAGCUUUGGAAUUAUGCAGCUUUUUGAAGCUUGCUGUUUGGCUCACCUUGCCGUCUUUAAAAAUAUGUUAAGCUGUUGUUGAAGCUUGUGGCUUGAAUCAUUGUUCUAGCUUGGUGGCUCGUCGUUUUGCACCGCUUCAGGCUUGGUUUGGUGCCAUUUUGCGCUCUGCAGGUCGGAGCUUGUUGUUAUUUUGUUGCAGCUUUUGGAAGCGUGUUGCCGCUUACCGUAGCCUGUACUGCAACUUUAGAAGCUUGUAGCUCACCUCCUUAUCAUUCUUCUUUUUAUUACUUAAUGAAAAAAAAGGUUAUGAAUUAUAUUGUAGAAAUGGAUAAUGGAUUGUAAAUGGAUAAUAUGGAUUGAAUUAUUAGAAAAUGAAUUUGGAUA